GGGCGGGCGGGGGCCUAUACCAUGCAAGUCGAGCGGACAGAUGGGAGCUUGCUCCCUGAUGUUAGCGGCGGACGGGUGAGUAACACGUGGGUAACCUGCCUGUAAGACUGGGAUAACUCCGGGAAACCGGGGCUAAUACCGGAUGGUUGUUUGAACCGCAUGGUUCAAACAUAAAAGGUGGCUUCGGCUACCACUUACAGAUGGACCCGCGGCGCAUUAGCUAGUUGGUGAGGUAACGGCUCACCAAGGCAACGAUGCGUAGCCGACCUGAGAGGGUGAUCGGCCACACUGGGACUGAGACACGGCCCAGACUCCUACGGGAGGCAGCAGUAGGGAAUCUUCCGCAAUGGACGAAAGUCUGACGGAGCAACGCCGCGUGAGUGAUGAAGGUUUUCGGAUCGUAAAGCUCUGUUGUUAGGGAAGAACAAGUACCGUUCGAAUAGGGCGGUACCUUGACGGUAACUAGGCGGAAGC
rnacentral:rRNA from 1 species